rnacentral:rRNA from 1 species
CUUAAAGGAAUUGACGGGGGCCCGCACAAGCGGUGGAGCAUGUGGUUUAAUUCGAUGAUACGCGAGGAACCUUACCAGGGCUUAAAUGGGAGUGGACAGCUUAGGAAACUAGGCCUUCUUCGGACCACUUUCAAGGUGCUGCAUGGUUGUCGUCAGCUCGUGCCGUGAGGUGUCAGGUUAAGUCCUAUAACGAGCGCAACCCCUGUCGUUAGUUGCCAGCGAGUGAUGUCGGGAACUCUAACGAGACUGCCGGUGUAAACCGUGAGGAAGGUGGGGAUGACGUCAAAUCAUCACGGCCCUUACGUCCUGGGCCACACACGUGCUACAAUGGCCAGUACAGAGAGCAGCCACUUAGCGAUAAGGAGCGAAUCUUCAAAACUGGUCUCAGUUCGGAUUGGAGUCUGCAACUCGACUCUAUGAAGCUGGAAUCGCUAGUAAUCGGAUAUCAGCCAUGAUCCGGUGAAUACGUUCCCGGGCCUUGUACACACCGCCCGUCAAGCCAUGGAAGCUG